GACAGAGGUGGCAAGCGUUGUUCGGAUUUACUGGGCGUAAAGCGCACGCAGGCGGUUUGGUAAGUCAGAGGUGAAAGGCUACAGCUUAACUGGAGCACUGCCUUUGAAACUGCCUUUCUAGAGUGCAUGAGGGGGAAGCGGAAUUCCGAGUGUAGAGGUGAAAUUCGUAGAUAUUCGGAGGAACACCGGUGGCGAAGGCGGCUUCCUGGCAUGUAACUGACGCUCAUGUGCGAAAGCGUGGGUAGCAAACAGG
rnacentral:rRNA from 1 species